AGAUUGAACGCUGGCGGCAGGCCUAACACAUGCAAGUCGAGCGGUAGAGAGGUGCUUGCAUCUCUUGAGAGCGGCGGACGGGUGAGUAAUGCCUAGGAAUCUGCCUAGUGGUGGGGGAUAACGUUCGGAAACGGACGCUAAUACCGCAUACGUCCUACGGGAGAAAGCGGGGGACCUUCGGGCCUCGCGCCAUUAGAUGAGCCUAGGUCGGAUUAGCUAGUUGGUGAGGUAAUGGCUCACCAAGGCGACGAUCCGUAACUGGUCUGAGAGGAUGAUCAGUCACACUGGAACUGAGACACGGUCCAGACUCCUACGGGAGCAGCAGUGGGGAAUAUU
rnacentral:rRNA from 1 species